UAGUGAUGUGAUGUUUAAACAUCUUUCGGGACUAACUUGUUGUGUAGAUACAUUUCUUGAACUUAUCACUA
ensembl:snoRNA small nucleolar RNA SNORD2